rnacentral:rRNA from 1 species
AUUGAACGCUGGCGGCAGGCCUAACACAUGCAAGUCGCACGAGCGGCGGACGGGUGAGUAAUGUCUGGGAAACUGCCUGAUGGAGGGGGAUAACUACUGGAAACGGUAGCUAAUACCGCAUACCAUCGGAUGUGCCCAGAUGGGAUUAGCUAGUAGGUGGGGUAAUGGCUCACCUAGGCGACGAUCCCUAGCUGGUCUGAGAGGAAGACGAGACACACGGGAACUGAGACACGGACCAUGAUCCGACGGGAGGCAGCGGUGGGGAAUAUUGCAGAAUGGGCGCAAGCCUGAUGCAGCAAUGCCGCGUGUGUGAAGAAGGGCUUCGGGUGGUAAAGCGCGUUCAGCGGGGAGGCGUUACCCGCAGAAGAAGCACCGGCUAACUCCGUGCCAGCCGCCGCGGUAAUUC